rnacentral:rRNA from 1 species
ACGCACGCUGGCGGCGUGCUUCACACAUGCCAGUCGCACGGAAAGGCCUCUUUCGGGGGGUACUCGAGUGGCGAACGGGUGAGUAACACGUGAGUAACCUGCCCUUGACUUUGGGAUAACUUCAGGAAACUGGGGCUAAUACCGGAUAGGAGCUCCUGCUGCAUGGUGGGGGUUGGAAAGUUUCGGCGGUUGGGGAUGGACUCGCGGCUUAUCAGCUUGUUGGUGGGGUAGUGGCUUACCAAGGCUUUGACGGGUAGCCGGCCUGAGAGGGUGACCGGCCACAUUGGGACUGAGAUACGGCCCAGACUCCUACGGGAGGCAGCAGUGGGGAAUAUUGCACAAUGGGUGGAAGCCUGAUGCAGCAACGCCGUGUGCGGGAUGACGGCCUUCGGGUUGUAAACCGCUUUCGCUCAUGACGAAGCUUUGUGUGACGGUAGUGGGUAAAGAAGCACCGGCUAACUACGUG